GCCUCCGCGCGGAGCCGGGCGAGGUGCCGCAGUGCAGAGGGCCGGCGUCCCGGCCGCCGCACGACCCCCCUCCGGCGCCGGAGCGAGGCCCCCGAGACCCCACCUCUCCGUCCUGCUGGAGGAUUUUCGCGUUUGACAGCGUCCCACUGCAAAACGUUAGGAAAGGCUGUAAAAUCUCUCUAAUACCUUGAGGGAAGAUUCUGAGAACCCCGAAUAACGGAAAGAGGCUUCUCUUCCUAAACUACCUACACCAUAAUAUUCAACACAGCCCAGAGAUUCAUGGGCUCAAGCCCACCCAAGGGACAGAGGACACCUGCCAACAAGAGGAAGGCUGGCACUGAUGUUGCUUUGCCUGUGUGACUGAC